UAGGCGUAAAUGAUGCGAGUUAAGUGUGGGGCAUCUACGAGAUGGCCCUGUGCUGUAGGGUAGCCGUUAAACUCGCUGCCUGGGGAGUACGGUCGCAAGGCUGAAACUUAAAGGAGUUGGCGGGGGAGCACCACAAGAGGUGGAGGCUGCGGUUCAAUUGGACUCAACGCCGGAAAACUCAUCGGGAGCGACAGCAGUAUGAUUGCCAGGUUGAUGACCUUGCUUGACAAGCUGAGAGGUGGUGCAUGGCGUAGUCGUGU
rnacentral:rRNA from 1 species